AUUCAAAUUUCAUUUUCUCGGAAGCGUCUAUGAGCAAAUUUGAUCUCCAACACAUCUUCAACUUAUUUUCGUACGUAGUAUAUUCUUAUCGACUAUUCACUUCUGUCCAACCCGGGAUUGGCCAAGUUCAAGUAUACGAGACAAGUUUUUAUGCUCGGUUCUCUCGAAAAUGAAACGUCACAUUUUCUUCUAUAUUUCCAAAUUGAUUUUUUCAUGUAGAAUCGCUUCCUUACCGAUCGUACCGCGAUUACUGGGGUACCAUAUACAUUAUUGCGUUCGAAAUUUCGAAGUGAAUCACACUAAAAGCAAACUAUCGAAGAAUUAACGAUGUAUCUCAAAAACGCGAUAGUUUACUAUCUAGUGAAGUUUAUAUGAGAUAAGGAAAACAAAUAAAAACGGAAUUUACAAAGGAUAUACUUCUCCCUCGAGGGAAACGAUACGUAAAUGUGGAACGAAAAGCUAUUGUUUGUCUAACUGUUUGUUUCUCGAAGAAAUUGGGAAAAAAUGUAUGAGCGAAAAAAUAGAAAUUAAAAAAUUGUUAUUGAUA